UACGUAGGGUGCAAGCGUUAAUCGGAAUUACUGGGCGUAAAGCGUGCGCAGGCGGUUUUGUAAGUCAGAUGUGAAAUCCCCGGGCUUAACCUGGGAACUGCGUUUGAAACUGGGUGUCUAGAGUGCAGGAGAGGUAAGUGGAAUUCCGGGUGUAGCGGUGGAAUGCGUAGAGAUCCGGAAGAACACCGGUGGCGAAGGCGGCUCCUGGUCCAGCACCGACGUCAGGCACGAAAGCGUGGGAAGCAAACAGG
rnacentral:rRNA from 1 species